CUAAUACCGGAUAAUAACAGAUGAUGCCUAUCAACUGUUUAAAAGAAUGGUUCUGCUAUCACUCUUGGAUGGACCUGCGGUGCAUUAGCUAGUUGGUAGGGUAACGGCCUACCAAGGCGAUGAUGCAUAGCCGAGUUGAGAGACUGAUCGGCCACAUUGGGACUGAGACACGGCCCAAACUCCUACGGGAGGCAGCAGGC
rnacentral:rRNA from 1 species